rnacentral:rRNA from 1 species
UACGAAGGGGGGCUAGCGUUGCUCGGAAUCACUGGGCGUAAAGGGCGCGUAGGCGGGCUCUUAAGUCAGGGGUGAAAGUCCCGGGGACUCCGAACCUCGGAACCUGCCUCUGAUACAGCAAGUCUCGAGUCCGGAAGAGGUGGGUGGAAUUCCUAGUGUAGAGGUGAAAUUCGUAGAUAUUAGGAAGAACACCGGUGGCGAAGGCGGCCCACUGGCCCGGUACUGACGCUGAGGUGCGAAAGCGUGGGGAGCAAACAGG